AUAAUAACUAGUGAAUAAUCUUUGUUAUGUUUUAUCUCUUUUGUUAAAAUAUAUAUGUGACCUUCCUUCCUUCCUUCCUUUCUUCCUUCCUUCCUUUCUUCCUUCCUUCCUUCCUUCCUUCCUUCCUUCCUUCCUUCCUUCUUUCUGUCUUUCACUCAGGCUGGAAUACAGUAGUGUGAUCAUAAUUUAUUCAGCCUCGAACUUGUGGUCUCAAGCAAUCAUCCUGCCUCAGCCUUUGACUAACUGGGACUACAGAUGUGUACCACCAUACCAUGUGACAAUAUUGACAUGGUCCCUGUCACCAUCCACCUCGACUUCAUGUAUCUUCUGCUUCUACCCGUGUAACAAGUACAUGUCUCUCAAAACAGAAUUUUGGCUUUUCCAGAUUGGCAAAUACCUCUUAGUUAAAUGUGGCUUUCAAGUAUGUGUUUACUCCUUUAUGUUUCAAUUUUCCUUCAAUUUUGGCCUGGAGAGUGUCUCAACUAAGAAGCUAAAAAGGGAAAGAAAAGAAAAGCAAUUAUGUUUUUUUCCCCUGCGGCCUAUACAAACACAUACACACCAAGUGUGUUUAAUUUGCAACAAUAUUGAAUAUGUGAGGGAAAAGUCGAGAAAAGACCACUAG
rnacentral:lncRNA from 1 species